GUUUUUGUUAGUUUGAGAGGUUGUUACACUAUGUAUAUCACGAAGAACAGAUUGUUACCAGCGAAACCAAGGUUGACAAUGCUUUUUUCGAUGGGUAUCAAUCUGCUCUAUCACCCUCUCAGCUAAGUGUUAUUUAAUUUAUUAUACCGAAUGUCUUAGCCUUAUUGUCUUUUAAGGUAGCACAAUACAAAGAUUUUUUUACUUCCAAUCCCCAACCUUUAAAAUGCUGUAACUUUCUUAAAAUUGCAUAUAGAUUAAUAAAAGAGGUAUAUGCAGAUAGAUAAAAGAAUAAUCUUUUAAAUGAAUGCAAUAUUUUUGUUAUGCAAUCAUUAUGAAAUUAAUUACUGUGCAAUUAGUGGCAAAAUCUUGGUAAGUUCACUUGAAUGAAUUUAGCUCUUUCAUCUCUAUAGCUACACCAAGGGGAGGAAUCUACGUCAUCACGCAGGGUGUCGGCGAUUGAAAUUGGACCACCAUUUUGUCGCUUUUAGGUAAGAAUUUGACUUAUUAUGCCAGUUAUAUGAGGGUUAUGAUUAAUCAAAAUAGUCCAC
rnacentral:lncRNA from 1 species